CAGAGUUUACUGUUGUCUCUUGCUUGCUUCAGUCUCUAUAAGUACUUCAUGAAGCUCAACACUCUACAAACCCUCAACUACACUCAACUGACUUACUGCUUUUACAUCUACUGUUGUCUGAAAGAGAGCAUGCUUGCUUCAGUCUCUACAAAUACUUCAUCAAGCUCAACACUCUACAAACACUCAAUUGAGUCGAAUUAAACUUUCAAAUUAAUAUAUUGACUCUUUGCAUCUGGAUCUUGCGUUGUUUCUCGGCUCUCACAUCAAGGUUUCACAUUUUUUGUCGUCUGUAACAAAAUUCUGCCUCUUGCAUUGUUGUAAGUUCUUCUAAAUUUCUUGGUUUUUUUGUAACUUUUAACUGUGGUUUUUGGAUCUGUAUUGUUUAACUGCC